GUGAAAUUCUGCUCAGGGUCACAGUAGGCAGUUUUUCCAGUCCCCAGAGAGCAAAUGGGGGAAAACCAACAAAAGCAUGUUGUGCAGCCUCCCUCCAGAGCCCCCGAGCCCACCACUGGCAUUUCCUGCGGCCCCUACCCCUGGUGGGAUGUGAGGGGUGAGGGAUGGAGGGAUGGCCAGAACGCACCCUGCACAGCACUCACCACGGUCCCUGUGGCUCCUGUUUCCACAUCUAGGUACCUGCCGUCUGCCCGCGGAGCUGCUUCUGCUGCCCUCACUGUGGAGACGAGAAACCUCUGCUCUCUUCUCCUGCUGUCCCUUGUGCCUGGAACAGCCUGGCCAAGAGGGGACUCAGGCUCUUUACUGAAUGAGUGAAAAAGCUUGCCGAAGCUCUUCCAAGGCAUCCUCGGGGAUUGAGAUUAAAAUAACUAUGUAGUGGGGCUUCUUGUUUCCAUGCUGAAAGGCCAGGAGCAUGUGUCUGUCUUCCUACAGCUUUCAUUCUCACCUCUCCUACCAAGGAAGGCAGGACCUCGAGGGACGGAAAGGCUCCCACAUCUGCAAGUCCCUGAAAGCUCCUGAAUGGCAAAUUUUCAGUCCUGGAGAGAAGUCCCGUGUUCCCCUGGCAUGCGUGCUGUGGUCCAUGCACACAAAGCAUCUUCCAUGAGCAUAUCAUGUAUGUCAGACCCAGCAUAAAGUUGUGGCAUGUGGGACGCUGCCUCAGCGUGGUUUGAUGAGCAGUGCCAUGUCCGCGCCCAGGAUUCCAACCAAUGAAACACUGGGCCGCCUGCAGUGGAGCGUGCGAACCUAACCACUGGGCCACGGGGCCAGCCCUGACCGCGUGCAAGGUUGAUAUGUCAACAGGCAGAAGCAUCCAUUCUCUACGGAGGGCAGUUGAGCACGUCUAUUGAAGGCCCAGAUGCAUAUGGAUACCGUUGACCCCGUAUUCCACCUUUUUAUCCUGUGUCCU
rnacentral:lncRNA from 1 species